rnacentral:lncRNA from 1 species
AGGCCUUGUAGAAAGGUGACCUUUGCGAAGACUUAAAAGAAUUGUCAAAGUAGGCCAUGAGGUCACAGAGGAAGAACAUUCCAGAAGGAGGCUCAGUCAGAGGUCACAUUGCUGAGGAUAAUCAAGGCAGCGAGAGUAGAGGGAGGGAGCUGAAGGAGAUGCUGUGAUAGGCCAGGGUAUCAGGGCAUGCAGGUGGCAUGGGCCAAGGGCAAGGCUUGGCUUUCCUUGGAGAGGAAAGGAAGUCACUGUUAGAUGAGCAGAGCCGGACACUUCCCUGGAUGAUGGAGAUAUCAUCAUUAUAAUUCUUACUAAAGCCUGAUAUAAACAAGUGAACAGUUAGAGAGGACACAGAGGGCUCCGAGUGUUUCAGUGAAGUCUACAAAGUAGCCUCACUCCGAGCUUCAGCAGGUGACUUGGCCGAGAGGGACCUCAGUGAAAGAUGUAGAGGAAUAUUGGAGUCCAAGACCGGGAGCUGUUGGGAGGACGUUAGAACCAAUUCUCAACCCUAGAGGAGAAUAACCUUUGACACAAAUCAAAAUAACGGAUGGCUGGGCCGCUUUAAUCUCCACUUCUCACCCCUUCCCCUUUGAACUUGGUCACUGUCAUGUUCCUAAUCUCUGGAGAUUCUGCAUCUAUCCCUUUCAAGAGCCAUCGGCCCCAUCUCUUUGGUUUGGUCUCCUGGAUGUGGCAUAAAUAUUUCUGUCCCUUUGAGGCCUCCAGCUGGAUUCUGACCUUGGACGUGGCUGGGGGAAGGGCAGAGAAGGCUUCUCUGAGUUAUCCAGGCAAGAGCGGUUCUAGGAAGCUGGGUCUGGAGACACUGGAGAAUUCAUUCUGGAGGCUCGAGUAGGCCUCCGGCAAAUGUGAUGCUGCGUGGGGGCUCUCGUAGUGAAGAUCCUCAGCACCCGUGGAGGUAUUCCUUAACGUAACCUCAGCACUGAGCUAGGAUGGUUUGGUCUUUUGUCUCCGCUCACACUGAGUUUUUGUUAUCUCCUCUUACACUGAACUCCUGUAACUUGCUCUGUCUGCUUUGGGGUAGAUGCUAUGUAAAUGUUUGCUGAUGGCACAAGCGACGGACAUGCGAUGAAUCUGGCUGCACACUGCACCAUCUUCGACUCAAACUUGCUCUCUAUCUGUUUCCAUAGCAUAGAGACAGCCUGCCCUGGUUAUGUAAACAAGUGGAACAUCUCAGCAGAGAUUGGCAUCCCAUUGGUGAUGUCUGUUC